UGCACAGACUAGAUAGAGAGCAGAAUUUGGACCUGGUAGACCCCAUCUGCAAAUGAAGGCCAAAAUAGGAACAAUGGCCUUGUACAGAUGUUGGCGCUGAGCACAGAAAAGAACCAAAAGUUUGAUGAAACUUCUUUCCACAUCAGCUGAAUUUACAGUCAGUUGGAGAAGAACCAUUGUGUGUUUUGCCAGGUUGGGAACACGAUCUUCAACAGCCAUCCAGAAGUGAAUGGGAUCCUCAACAUCUCCAAACGCAUCUUUGGCAAACUUUAAAUACACUGGUCAUUUCAUGUUUCAUUCAUCAGACAGCUUUAAUUGUGGUUUCACAGUUUCAUAAUCUGUAAAAACAGCACCUAUUUGUUUAGGAUCGAUUGCAUGAACAGUGCUGAGAAAAUCAAUUGCUGGUUGUUUAUUUUUUUAGGUUCUGCUGUGUCAGUUUUUCAGUAGCACUUGGAGCAGCUGCAGAUCCAUUUACAUUGUCAGGUGAUGAAGCAAGGUGCUCCAACCAUGAAAUUAAAUCUAGGACAACACUGUA